CCUCCGAGCGGCCCGGAAAAAUCGGCGGCUUGCUCAGAUUUAAAAAACAAACAAACAAAAGAAAGAGAGCGAGAAGGAAGGUGAGAGAAAGGAAGCGAGGAAGAGGAAAGGGAGAGGUUUUCAACUAGACGGCGGGCCCCCUCCCGGAGGCUGGCUGGGGUCUGCGGGACCGCCGCUCGGCUCGGACGCCGGCUGGGGAUUUCCCCGUAAUAACGGACGAAACUUCGGAGUCAACAGGCUGUGGAGAAAAGAAAAAAAGGUGGACAAUGUAGCUGCGCCAGAUCCUACCAGUUUACUGGAAAAAAAAAAAAAAAGAUGUGAGAUUUGAGGGGGAAGAAUGUGAGGAGUUCUGCCUCUGUAGCCUAUUGUAUGCUUCCCCUGUGGCCCAGCUGGUAAAGAAUCUGCCUGCAAUAUGGGAGACUUGGAUUCGAUCCCCGGGUCAGGCAGAUCCCCUGAAGAAGGAAAUGACAACCCACUCCAGUACUUGUGCCUGGAGAAUACCCUGGACAGAGGAGUGGGACAGGCUGCAGUCCAUGGAAUCACAAAGAGUUGGACGGACUGUGCAACU